rnacentral:rRNA from 1 species
GACGAACGCUGGCGGCGUGCCUAAUACAUGCAAGUAGAACGCACAGUUUAUACCGUAGCUUGCUACACCAUAAACUGUGAGUUGCGAACGGGUGAGUAACGCGUAGGUAACCUGCCUGGUAGCGGGGGAUAACUAUUGGAAACGAUAGCUAAUACCGCAUAAUAUUGAUUAUUGCAUGAUAAUUGAUUGAAAGAUGCUAUUGCAUCACUACCAGAUGGACCUGCGUUGUAUUAGCUAGUAGGUGAGGUAACGGCUCACCUAGGCGACGAUACAUAGCCGACCUGAGAGGGUGAUCGGCCAAACUGGGACUGAGACACGGCCCAGACUCCUACGGGAGGCAGCAGUAGGGAAUCUUCGGCAAUGGACGAAAGUCUGACCGAGCAACGCCGCGUGAGUGAAGAAGGUUUUCGGAUCGUAAAGCUCUGUUGUAAGAGAAGAACGGGUGUGAGAGUGGAAAGUUCACACUGUGACGGUAUCUUACCAGAAAGGGACGGCUAACUACGUG